ACUUAAAUAGUUUAGUUUAAAAUAUUAAUUUGUGGUAUUAAUGAUGUAGUAUUACUUUAGGUU
rnacentral:tRNA from 1 species